rnacentral:snoRNA from 1 species
CCCGCCACUGCAGCAGUUUAUUGCCUAACUGCUUACAGUCCAGUGGUGAGCUAAGAGCAAACUACAUCUUAGGAAACAGGUACAUUCUGGGUGUGAGUGAACCUGUGCCAAAAGAUUGUAAACAAGA